AGCAGAGAGAAACAGAGGGGCGGGGGAUGUCCUCCGAGGGAGGACGAGUCCCAGUCUCGCCGCCUCCGCCGGCCGCCGGCCGAACCCCAGUCUCGCCGCCGACGCCGGCCGCCGCGCCGCCGACCUAACCCCAGUCUCGCCAGUCCGGUCGCGGCACCCAUCCCAUUGGGCCCAUUACCCCCCCUCUCUCUCUCUGUGUGUGUGUUUCCCGAAAGAGGAGGGGAGUCGACCCUUGUCUGUCCAGCGUGGCGUGGCAAAAACAAACCGCCCGUAGCCAAACCGGGUCGCCGCCGGCCGGCUCACUUCUCUUAGUCCGCCGGCGGCGAUGGCUGGCUAUUCUGCGGUGGCGAGCAGCUCCUCUUCGUCAAACGCGCCCCCCUCGCUCGGCACGCGCGUGGAUGAUGCUACUCCGCCGCUGUUCAGGACAAGUUACUGCGGGCAAGGAUGGAAGCUCGGCAAUGGCGAAUUGGCGAUUUGCUGAAUCUGCCGUAUUUGCUUGCUACUUUUAUAUAGAUCUAUAGCCAUGCUACUACCAUCAGCUGCCACAUAUCAUUCAGUCUUGUUUUGGAAUUUCUUACUUGCAUGACUACCAAAUUUCACAACCAUCUCCCUUUGUUUUUCUUUUGACAGAAACAUGCAGGCAUCAGUUAUUCAGUUAGAGAUUCAACAAAGUUAAUCUGAAUAUAUGUGGAAUAUCAGCAUCUCUGCGGUCCAGUCCAUUUCCACGGGUGCUCCAAGUUGUUUCCCGGUUUAAUCGGAAUAUUGUUCUUCUUGGUCACCACUCACCGUGUUUUACAGUGUAGCUAGAUAGAUGUCACUGAACCAGAAAAACAAAGCAAUGCAAACUACAACGUCACACGCCGCUUCCAGGCCAUAGCAAUUCACACCUCACCCUUGGGGUCCUUACAAUUUAAGUGUAGCGGUUCUUUUUUCACAACCAUCGUCAUGCUUUGCUGAAACUGCAUUCCAUUUCCUUGUAUUUUUCAUUUAACAGAUCAUGGAUAUAUCACUUUUCAGUUAGAGAUUCAAGAAAUUUAAUCUGAAUAUGUGUGGAAUAUCAGUAUCCUUGCGGAUCUAGUCCAUUCCCACGAGUGCUCGAAGCUGUUCCGCAACGUUGCUGAGGUGGAGGCCUAGCACGAGUUCAACCCCUCCUUCAAGCCCAAACCAGGAGGUCACCGCAGGCCUCUUAAUAAGCAGUACAUCUUAACUGAGAUUCUGAGAUUCUUGGAUAAAGAGGCAAUUUGAAGCUUGUCAUUCAAUGUGUGGCACCAGGAGGAUUCGAAUCUGCACAAAGGUUGGAUAUACUCUUAGAGAACAUAUUCGUUGCCAGAGUCUACAGUCCAGACCUUUACAUCCUUCCAGGUCUAAAUUUUUUGAGCCAUCUUUUAUAUGACAGAAGCCGUGAUUCAGUUCAAGAAACACACAGAUGUCACUUAUUCAGUUAGAAAUUCAAGAAGUUUAAUCUGAAUAUGUGUGGAAUAUCAACAUUCUUGCGGAUCCAGUCCAUUUCCACAAGUGGUCGAAGAUGUUUCGCAGCAGUGCUGAGGUGGAGGCCUAGCACGAAUCCAACCCCUCCGUCAAGCCCAAACCAGGAUGGUGCCACAGGCUCUUAAUAAACAGUAAGCCUUAGUUGUAGGCCUCGGAAACUGUAUCCAAUCCAUUUUUUCUUAAACUUUGCAUAUAGUUAUUUGUUACUUAUGGUGAUGUUUGAUGUUGUCCUAUUGUUCUUGGUCACCAUGUUCUGUACUGUAGCUAGAUUGAUGUACCAUAGCAAUUCACACCUCACCCUUGGGGUCUUUACAAUUUAUAAGUGUAGCGGUUCUUUUUUUGUUGAGAAAGUUGUUUGUUCUAAAUUGCUGUUGGCAGUGUAACUGCAGCAUUAUUUGUUUCACCCUUUGGAUCA